UUUCUCCCCCUUUCUCCCCUUUUCCCCCUUUCGUUUCCUUUUCUUUCCUCCUCCCUGUCUCCCUGCCUCUGUCUCUCUUUCUCUUUUUCUUUCUUGUUGGAGCUUGGACUCUGACUCCAUUUCCAGCAGGAUUUUCCGAUUUUUUUCUGUUCAUUAAAGAUGCUAGAGAGGAAUGAAAAGUUGGUGGAAGGAAUAGGACAUCUUUCCUGUUUUCUGUUCCUGUCAGAAUCAGUUCAGUAGCAACAAACUGUUUACUUACUCAGCUCCUGGACUCCUUUGACAUUUUCAGCAUCAGCAGGAAAAACUCUCCCUCCAAGAGAUAAGCACCAGCUAUGUAAGUUUAAGCUCCAGCAUCACAGCGCCCUCCUCUGUGCUCUUUUGUUUCAUGAAGCCCACCUGUUCCCUUCUGUGCCAACAGACUUAGCAGGGCUGGAGUUCAAGGUUGGACCUCAUGCUCUAAAACAUGAAUGAAUGGCUACGGAAAGGUGGCCCAGACCCGGUGGAGUCACUGUGACACUGGGCCACUGCUCCCAUCCUGUUACAGAUACACACUAAGGAGGACCUCUUCCAACCAGCAAGAGGCAGCAGAAAAUCACCUUGGUUGUCCAAGGAAGAUUAAUAGUCUUUCAAUCUGAUGCCUCCAAGAUGAGAUUGGCUAAGAUUAUUUCACAGGAAACUAGAAAUGGAAGAGCAAAGUGAAGCUAAGGUGAUCAUGGAAAAGAAAUAAUUGAUGUAAGAACAAAUACUAAUACCAUAAAAACAUAUCAACAUACGACUAUGGGAGCAAUGCAUUUCAGCCCGUAACACUCCCCAGUAGAGAACAAGCCAUUUGUCAACACCUGCGGGACUGGACUGGACUGCAGAGAUAAAAAUGCAUGAGGUCAUUGCUCAGCUUGCUCCAUCAUCACCUCAGAAUGAGGAAAGCAAGAAGAAUAGCUGAAGAAAGUUGUCUACUCUCUCAAGGUGGCUGAGGGUCCUCUUCAAUAUGACUCAUCUCAUGUUUUUCUCUGAUUCCCGAGAUAGUGAAACCCAGGGAACAUGGUAGUUUAGCUAGUUUUUACAGCAAUUCUC
rnacentral:lncRNA from 10 species